rnacentral:lncRNA from 1 species
CGGAAGCGAUCCCCUAGCCCCUGCGGAGGUGAAAACCUCACGAAGGCAUAGUUUCUCACUCCUACUUAAGAGGUGCGACCCCAACGGUCAUGCAAUAUGGUGCGAAAGCAUAUCAAAAGUAAAUUCAACAAGGACACAGAAGAUGCAAUGCGAAGAUCGUGGAUUUUUAGAAAAACAAACUUCAAAUUUCGACAAGACGAUAGAAAAUAAUCAAUUUACAGCUCGACUCUCUUUAUGGGUCCCCAGCGGAGUCGCCAAGCUGUCGAAACCAUUUUUUUUUUAAAAACGGAGAUCGACUUUAAAACAAAAAUGGAGUCGCCACCAAUCCUUUUUGUGGUGUGAUUGGGCCACCUUAUAAAACAUUUUGGUCUACGAAUUUUGAGAAAAUAGGCUCGGGAGUCAGUUACGUAUGAGGAAGGAUUAGCACCCCCAAUACGCCCAAAAUCGGUACUUUAUUGAUUAAUUUAUGUCUUAAUGUCGAAAAUUAAAGAUUUGAAAAUAUUUUAAAGUACGAUCCUCCUUUUUGAAACAUUUGAGUAAAUUAAACGUGAGUUAAAGACCAUCUCGCUUCAAGGUAAAAUGUCACGUCUAGUACGGUAGGACAAACAUUUUUGACCCCCGAUUAUGAGCUUGUCUUUUAUUUUAAAAAAAAUCGUGCACUUUAUUCUUUUUAAAAAAAGGGUAUUCGGAUAUUUAAAUCAAACGUAAAGCCACAACCCAGUACGGUAGGGCAUGAUUUUUCGAAUUUUUUAAAUACAGAACACUGCCUCCCCCUUUUCAAAACUUGGAGAAAUUCAAUAAGAAGGAUAUCGAACAAAAACCCAAAUCCAAUAUGAUAGGAAAAUUGCCUUUGUUUAGGAGAAAAUUUGGAGAAUAAAUCGAUUAAGAAGGAUAUUCGAAUACUUAAAUCGAAUAAAAAACGAAGCCCAGUACGGUAGGGCACAUUUUUUAAAAUGAUUAAGUAUAGAAAAUUGCCCUUAUUAAAAACUAUUUGGGAAUAAAAUGUUGAAUAAAAUACUUAAAUCGAAUAUAAAAAAAACGAACCCAAUACGGUAGGGCACGUUUUUUAAAACGAUUAAGUAUAGAAAAUUGUCUUCAUGUUAAAAACAAAUUGAGAAUACAUUGUGGAAUAAAAGAAUUAAAACGAUUAAAAUUUGGGGAGGAAAAAAAUGAUAUGCAACAUAAUAAUAAUACAAUUAAUAACUCAAUCAAUAUAAAUAAAAAAAUAAAUAUAGAGAAAAUUAGCAACAGCAAUAAUAAUGAUAAAAAUAUAAAAAUAUGAUAAAUAUAGCAAUAAUAAUAUUAAUAGUAAAAUAAAAACAUAAUGAUAAAAUAAUAUAUAUUAAUGACGAUAUUAAAUAUAAUGAUAAAAGUGAAAAUUAAAAUAAUAACUAUACUAAAAUAACAUAAUAAUAUAGUAUGUAAAAACAAUUUGAUAAUUUUAAAAGAAAUAAUAGAUAUAAUAUAAUAAAUAUAAUAAUGAGUAAAAGAAUUAUCACAUUUAAAAUAAUUAACCUUUAAUAAAAAUAAAAUGAAUAUAUAAUAUUAAAUAAUUAAUAUAAUAAUAUGAAAUCAAAACUCAAAUUAAUUAGUUUUAAUAGAAAAAUAAUAAAAAUGUGAUAAUAAUAAUAUGCUUAUAAAAAGUAAUAUUAAAUGACUAAUAAAAAAUGGUAAAAAUAAAUAGUAAAAAUAAUAGAAAUAAUAAUAAUAUAAUAGUGCGAAUAACAUUGAAAAGCAUGUACAGGUGUAAAAUAAUAAACCAAAAAACAAAAUAAUAAUAAUGUGAAUAAUAUAAUAGGUGAAUAUAAUAUUUUAAAAAAAAUUGAAAGUAAUUAGAGCAGUAAAAGGCUUGGGAUUUAAUUAUAAUCAAAGCGAAACAUGGGGUGCGAAUUAUACAAUACAAAGAAAUAACAAAUCAUGAACUGGGAUCAAAGUAGACAUGCGUGCAAAGGGGAAGGAUCAGCAGCAUAAAUAUUCCCUUCAAAGCACAAAAGCAUGGGUCCCAUCCCUCCCAAACGACACCAUUUUAUUUGAUAUUUAAAAAACUAAAGGGGCCAAACAAGAUAGAAAAGAAAAAAAAUUGAACGGUAGUCUGCCAUUUUUAAAAGAAACCAUAGCCCUUUUAUUUUUCUUUGCUGGGAUUUGAUGACCAAGAAUCAAGCCACUGCCGGACCACCACCAUUGCCGGUCACCACAUACAGUAACCGAAGUUUAAAAAGAUAAGUUCUUUUUAUCUUUUUUAUCCUCUUUAAUAGAUGAACGAACAACAAAAUGGUUAGUUUCGAAAACACAAAGGAAAAAAAAUGAAAAAAAGAAGAAACAAACAACAACCUUGGUGGUUUUCGGUUUGCCAGAUCUGUUUUGCUCUCAAUCGAUGGUGUAGGCUUUUUGUUUGUCUGAUCGGUGGUUAUUUCCCUAUAUUUGAAUGCUUGUAUUUUGGUAAAAUUCUUGCUCUUUGAUUUUUAGAUGCCACUAUUUGUAUCAAAUCUGCGUUUUUAUUGAAUAAUCCCCCCCAAAAAAAACAUUGUUACACUCUCAUGGCUUUAUAGCCUAAAUUCUAACUCUUUAUGCCUCUUUUUGCUGUAGGUGAAGGCAAAACGUGGGAAUGGAUGCAUGGAGGCAGAGAACGUGGGUAGUGGAAGCAUGAAGGCAGUUGGAGGCUAGGGUUUUGGCUGAAAAUGUUUUGGGGUUUGUGGGAUAGGGUUAAGUAUUUGGGCUUCAAAAUUGGGUCUGUUUUUAUUUUUUGUUUUUUUGUUGUUGAAUUCUAUUUUGGACUUGUUUUUGUGCUUUAUGUAAUUUGGGCCGGGCAAAAAUUGGGUUUUACAGCUGCCUCUCUUUGCUCGUUGUUGUGUAACGAGAACGAAACAAAGACUUUAGAAAGACCAAUUUUGCCCGGUCUUGUUGAAUCCUGACUCCUUGUUGCUCAUCUUGCUCAAGUAGCCACAUUCCAUCCCACUGCAUCUUCAGGGGUAUAGAAAUUAACAUUUCGAUCCACUCCAAUAGGUUUCAGAGAGAAGAGAUUUGUAGCUUCAAUCUACUCUACUGGCACUUGAAGGAGAUAAUAACUGGUAACUUCAACUUGUUCCACUACUGCUUAGGGACACGAGGUUUGUAUCUUCAACUCUCUCUCUGCAACUUCAAAGAAAUAAGGUUUGGUAUCUUCGAUCUGCUUCACCACUACUUAGGAAGAUAAGAUCUGCUAUCUUCAGUCUGCUCCGCUGCAACUUCAGGGAGAUAAGACUUGUAAUUUCAACAUGCUCUCUGCAACUUCAGAGAGAUAAGGUUUAUUGUUUUCGAUCUGCUCCACUACUGCUUAGGGAGAUAAGAUCUGUAAUCUUCGGCCUGUUACCCUACUGCUUAGGGAGUUAAAGCCUGUUCAUCGUCUUCGAUAAAGCCUGUUCAUCGUCUUCGAUCUGCUCCACUACUGCUUAGAGAGAUAAGAUCUGUAAUUUUUUAGCCUAUUACCCUACUGCUUAGGGGCUCAAAGCUAGUGGCUUGAAUCUGCUCCGCUCUUACUCGGUGAAGAUAAGAUCUGCUGAAAAUUGAUCUGCUCCGCUCUUACUUAGCGAAUAUAAGAUCUGCUUAAAACUUGUAGUUUCAAUCUUGCUAUAUGACCACUGAGGAAUCUAUCUGUAAAAUUGAUUUCCUGAGGUUUAUGCCUAUGUCAAAUGAUUAAGAUGCCAUGAUUAACAUGAAUCAAAUGCUCCUAACUAAAUGUGUCAUGAAUGACAUUUGUAUGAAUGUAGAAUGUCAUGAAAAUGAUCCCCUUUUUAGGUUAUUACUAUUCGUCAUUUAUCAAAAUUUUAUCACUGCCAUAUAAUCCUAUCCUCUUUACUCAACUAGUAUCCUUGAUAGAAAAUCCACUUCUUAAAUCCAUUCCACUGCGACUCAGGCGUAUAGGAUUUGUACCAUCUUUUCAAUCAAAUGGUCUAUUAAACCCUCUCUAGGGAAUAUGACCAGAUGCAAAAUCUUAAUCUAUUUUCCAAGCAUGAUUUCACUUUAAUACUUGAGUGGACAUUGCUUAUUAUUCGUCGAGGUACCUCUAACAAACAAAAUCCUGAGAAGUGCACUAAACUAGACCCCUUUUUUCAACAUUUCCAACCCUUAGGCUUGAGGAGUUCUGAACAAUAGUCCUGUUUCCGAUUCUUGCAACAUUAGAAGUUUCCGAAGUAAUAUGUAAAACCUCCUUUGUGAAAGUAUUAUUAGUCCAUUAAUCGUUAGUUCAAUGCAAAAAAGGCUCGAAAAAGAAAAAAGGAGAGAGAAGAAGAGGAGGAAAAUAAUAAUAAUAAUAGGCUAACAGGAAAUUAUUUGAGAGCAUAGCUCAAAAAACGUUAAUCAAAGAUGGCAAAUACCAUAAGAAGGAAAAUUUAUUGAGAGCAUAGCUUAGAACAAAUAGAAAAGCAAAACAAAUACAACAUAGGUGAGAUGUGAACUAGGUGCCCCAGAUAUCACCGUCCGAGCUUCCCGGUACAAACUUCUUGAAGACCAUUCUGAGCUUAUCAUAUGCCUAGGAGAUCUAACGUAUUUUGUCGAUGCCCCAAGACAUGCGUGCUUUCUCUUUAUUAAUUCCAGCAUAGCAAAAUUACCGUAUGCCCCAUCCUUGGUCAAAAUUUGAAUUGCCCUUUUCGGGUUUUCAAUUCAAAACCCCUUUAGUCUCAAGGCGCCCUUUGCGGGUUUUCACCUUGGCCUCACCCUUUUGUUUUUUUAGGUGCCCUUUUCGGGUUUUCAAUUCAUAACCCCUUUGGUCUUAAUGCGUCCUUUGUGGGUUUUCACCUUGGCCUCACCCCCUUUUUUUUAGGUGCCAUUUACGGGUUUUCACCUCUUAAGUAAAAUACUUCUUGACUGAAUCUGAAUUUACUGGGUUAGGCAGGCUCCUACUAUCCAUCUCAGUUAAUAUCAGUGCUCCUCCAGAAAAAGCCUUAUUUACCACGUAAGGUCCUUCCUAGUUUGGCAUCCAUUUCCCUCUAAAAUCUUUUUGCAUAGGGAGAAUUUGUUUCAACACCAAAUCCCCCUCACGGAAUACUCUAGGGCGAACUUUUUUGUUGUAAGCUCGCAUCAUUCGCUUUUGGUACAUUUGACCAUGAUGAAUAGCCUUCAGUCUCUUUUCUUCAAUCAAAUUCAGUUGAUCAUACUGGGACUGAAUCCAUUCUGCUUCGUCUAGCUUCAACUUUGAUAAAACCCGAAAAGAAGGAAUUUCGACUUCAAUGGGCAAAACUGCUUCCAUCCCAUAAACUAAUGAGUAAGGUGUUGCAUCGGUAGAAGUUUUGACAUAUGUUCGAUAGGCAUAAAGAGCAAAUGGUAACUUUUCAUGCCAAUCCUUGUAGGUCUCAGUCAUUUUUCCCACGAUCCUUUUGAUAUUCUUAUUGGCUGCCUCAACCGCACCAUUCAUUUUUGGACGAUAAGGUGACGAGUUAUGGUGCUUAAUCUUGAACUGCCUGCAAACCUCUACUAUCACGCUGUUAUUCAAAUUCAACGCGUUGUCUGAUAUGAUCCUUUCUGGCAUACCAUAUUGACAUAUGAUUUCUUUUUUCAAGAACUUACUUACUGUCGACUUUGUAACGUUGGUAUAUGAAGCAGCCUCUACCCACUUAGUGAAGUAAUAGAUAACCACAAAGAUGAAUCGAUGCCCAUUAGAAACCUUCGGUGAAAUCGACCCAAUAAGGUCCAUGCCCCACAUUGAGAAAGGCCACAGAGAAGUUACGACAUGAAGGGGUGAAGGAGACACGUGGAUCUUGUCACCAUAAAUCUGGCACUUAUGGCAUUUCUUGGCAUAGCUGAUGCAAUCUCCUUCUAUUGUGGACCAGUAGUACCCGAAUCUCAUAAUUUGCCAGGCCAUUGUGAACCCAUUGGCAUGCGUCCUGCAGACACCCUCAUGGACCUCUUCCAGGAUUUUUUUAGCUUCAACAGCAUCAACACACCUUAACAGUACCUGAUCUUUCCUCCUUUUAUACAGGACUUCUCCAUCCAAGACAUAGUCAUUGGCUAGCCUUCUCAACGUUCUUUUAUCAUUUUCCGUUGCCUGGUCAGGGUAUUCACGACUCUUCACGUAUUGCAGAAUGUCAUGAUACUAAGGAUGGUUAUUUCUUUCUUCUUCUUCGUCUAUAUUGCAGCAAUGAGCUGGAGCAUCGUAAAUACUUAUCUGAAUUGGAUUCAUAUCUCCUUGUUCAUUUAUUCUGAUCAUAGAAGCUAAUGUAACCAGGGCAUCAGCCAUCUGAUUUUCAUCACACGGGAGAUAAAAGAAAGUGACGUCAUCAAACUGCUCAAUUAAUUCCAGACCUAACAUUCGAUAACUGAUCAAUUUGGGAUCUCUCGUCUCCCAUUCACUUUUGAGCUGAUAGAUCACCAAUGCAGAGUCUCCAUAUACCUCUAGCACUUUGAUUUUUUGAUCUAUGGCCACACGAAUUCCCAUGAUACAUGCCUCGUACUCUGCCAUAUUGUUUGUGUGGUCAAAAUCCAACUUGCAAGUGAAUGGAUAAUGAUCUCCACUUGGGGAUAUCAAAACUGCCCCAAUUCCAUUACCAAUGACAUUUAAUGGACCAUCAAAAUUUAGUUUCCAAGAAAAAUUUUCGGACGUGCCUUCCUCGGUAGUUGCCACAUACAUUAAAUCUUCAUUGAAAAAUCAAAGUUCAGAGGCUCAUAAUCUUUUAAGGCUCUACUGGCCAGAAAAUCUGCUAUGGCACUCCCUUUAAUGGCCUUCUGGUUUACGUAGACUAUGUCAAACUCGGAAAGCAGAAUUUACCAUCGGGUCAUUCUUCCACUCAACGCAGUUGAUUCCAUCAUGUACUUUAAAUGGUCUAGUUUCGAAAUUAACCACGUCGUAUGGUACAACAUGUACUGCCUCAAUCUCCGGGUGGUCCAAACCAAAGCGCAACAUAAAUUUUCAAUUGACGAAUAUCUCAUUUCACACUCAGUGAAUUUUUUACUGAGGUAAUAUAUCGCCUUUUUCUUCCUUCCGGUCUAAUCAUGUUGGCCAAGCACACAUCCCAUUGAAUUGUCAAAUACUGUUAAAUACAAUAUCAGUGGCCUAUCAGGACUAGGCGGCGUCAGCACUGGAUGGUUGGACAAGUAAUGUUUAACUUUGUCGAAGGCUUUUUGGCACUCAUCAUCCCAUACACCUGGAUUGUGUUUCUUAAGGAGACGAAAUAUGGGGUCACAUUUCUCUGUUAGUUGUGAAAUGAACCGGGCAAUGUAGUUUAAUCUUCCUAGGAAACCAUGAACUUCUUUUUGAGUACGGGGUGGAGGCAGUUCCUGUAUAGCUCUGACUUUAUCCGGGUCAACUAUAACUCUUUUUUCACUGACGACAAAACCCAGUAAUUUUCCUGACCUGGCUCUAAAAGUACAUUUCGUCAGAUUGAGUUUAAGCUGAAAUUUUCUCAACUUCAAAAAUAACCUCCUUAAGACUUGUAAGUGCUCAUUUUUUGUUCGAGACUUUGUGAUCAUGUCGUCAACGUAAACCUCGAUUUCUUUAUGCAUCAUGUCAUGAAAGAGGGUUACCAUAGCCUUUUGAUACGUUGCUCCCGCGUUCUUCAAACCGAAUGGUAUCACCUUAUAGCAAAACGUUUCCCAUAAGGUUAUGAACAUAGUCUUUUCCAUGUCUUCAGGAUGCAUCUUAAUUUGAUUAUACCCCGAGAAUCCAUCCAUAAAAGAGAACAGUGAAUAGCCCGCCGUAUUAUCUACUAGGGUAUCAAUAUGAGGCAACGGGAAGUUGUCCUUUGGACUAGCUUUGUUUAGGUCUCUGUAAUCCACACACAUCCGCACUUUUCCAUCUUUUUUAGGGACAGGGACAAUAUUAGCUACCCAUUCUGGGUAAUUAACCACUUGUAAGAAACCAGCAUCAAAUUACUUCUUGACCUUUUCCUUUACUUUCACUGCCAUAUCGGGUCUCAUCCUUCGGAGUUUCUGCUGUACCGGCUUGCACUCCUUCUUUGUGGGAACACGGUGUAUCACAAUAUUGGGGUUUAAACCUAGAAUAUCUUGAUACGUCCAUGCAAAGACAUUCUUGAACUCUCGCAAUAAUUCAAUAAGGUCCUGUCUUGUCUUCUAAUUGAUGCAAGUGCCAAUUUUCACCUCCUUUCCUUCUUCCAGGGUCACGCUCUCAAUUGUCUCCUGGUGAGGCAGAAUCUGUUUCUCUUCCCGCUCUACCAUCCUUAACAAGUCCGGAGAUAAACUAUAAUCCUCGUUAUCUUCAAAAUCCUGAGAUCCCUCUAAGAGAAAAUUUUACUCAAAAAGAGAUUCAGGGUCCAUAUCAGUACUACUCGUGUCAUUGAUAUCUGGGGACCUGUUACAAAUAUGAAAGAAUGUCCAAAAAGGAAUCUAAGAAUAACUUAUUUGUAACAUGAAAAUGAAUGAAAAUAGAACAAAAUAUUUGCUCGAAAAGUGAGGAAAAUGCAUUUUUUUAUUGAAAUAAUGAUAUUUAAACAUGAGCCUAUUUCACAAAAGAUUCUUAUUGUUCUAGGCUGAAAACAAUAAGUAUGUACUGAACAUUACUUUGAAUUUGCUCUAAAAACUAUAGGAAUCUCUUCUGCAGUCCAAUUUUUUGCACACUUCCAGGCUCGUAAGGGAGAAUACCCGAUAAGUUUCCUUCUUCCAGUCCUUCUCCAAGGACAGCAUUAAUGCUCAGGCUAUCGCACAUGUCUUCAAAAUAUUCUUCCCUUGUCAUCCCGCUCCCAAGAUGAAUCAUUCCUCCUGACACAAAAGUUUUGGAUAUGUGGGGAAAGCUCAUUGGCUCCCAUUUGACUUCUGCCCCACUUAACCGUGCUCUUCGUCUCUCUUGUCUCUUCUCUACUUCCUUUCUUCUUUGUUUUGCAUCCGGCUCAUAUCUCAAGCCAAAGUAAUCCCGCUUAUCAAUCAAGACCGGUACCUCAACCCUUCCAUGCAGAUACUUUUCGAGUCCCAUUCCGGACAAUGCUCCGCUUCCAACCAUCAGUUGUAAACCCAUUUUCAUAGCACUGGACACUUUGGGUAUCAGGAUCUUACUUCCCUCCAUAACAAAAGUGGCAUUCACAAAUUCCAAUGAACGAAAAAAAUACUCCAACGCCCCAUCAUCCUUCUCAAUGUAUGGUGCAUCACUGGUCACAGAUGCAACAAUAUCCUCUUCCGUGUUUAUUGUUAUCAAUCGACCCUCCAUUAUCAAUUUCAACUUUUGAUGCAAUGAUGAUAGUACUGCCCCUGCCGCAUGAAUCCAAGGCCUCCCUAACAGGCAAUUAUAGGAGGGCUUAAUGUCCAUCACUAAGAAAUCUACCUCAUAUGUAUUCGGACCAAUUAAAAGAGGUACUUCGAUCCUUCCCAUCACCUUUCUUUCAGUCUCGUCAAAUACUCUCACCAUGUUCUGGCACGUCUUUAUGUGAGAGCUGUCUAUUGGUAGCCUAUUCAAUGUAGAUAAGGGCAAAACAUUCAGUGCUGACUCAUUAUCAAUUAGAACCCCCGGCACAGUAUACCCCUUACAACGGGUAGUGAUGUGUAAGGCCUUAGUAGAUCCCCUACCCCCUGAUGGUAUUUCAUCGUCGCUGAAUGAGAUGAAAUUGUCUACACUUAUGUUAUUGAUAAGGCGGUUUAGCUUGUUUACUGUGAUGUCAUUUGCAACAUAGGUCUCAUUUAACACCUUUAUUAACGCGUUACGGUGUAUCUCCAAGCUUAAAAGUAAGGUCAGUACCGAGAUGCGAGCUGACUAUUUGUGUAGCUGCUCCACGACACUAUAUUCACUGUGUUUUAAGAAUUUCAAAAAUUCCUUUGCCUCAUUCUUAACUAUUGGCUCCUUAACCGGUAGCUCCUCUCUUUGCUUCAUUAAAGAUUUCCCUUUUACUAAAUCGGCUUUCGUAUGGAAACCUACAUCCUGGGCUUCCCCUUGGGUGUUGACCUAGUUCUUCCCUCCCGGAAUUGUCACAUUACAAUUAUAGCUCCAAGGUACCCUCUUGCUAUCCUUAUAAGGGACAGCAACGGGGUUCUGUAUCACUAUUCUUGGUGCCAUUUUCAAUCCAACUUCAUUAAUCUUUGGCUGUAAAAUAAUUACUCUUGGGCGAUUAAUCUCACAGUAUUUUCCUAACGACCCUCCUUCCGAGGUGCAUACAUCUCUCUCUUCUACAUAUUCAAAGAAUUCCUACUCUUUGUUGUCCAUUAGUUCCUGUAUUAGGGCCCUAAAUUCAUCACAUUCUUGGAUCUCAUGAUCCUCCUCAUCAUGGAACUCACAAUAGUUCCCUAUUUUCUGGGGUCUGUUUUCCAAACUCUGCGCGAUUAACUCUUUCUUCAUUAUUUCCUUCCAAACCUUUCUCAAUGGUGUUCUUACUUCAGCCACAGUCAUUCUAACUCUUUUCUCGGUAUUCUCAAUUACUGCAUUUACCCCCUUGUCGGCAUGAUUGCGUAACGGAUUUUCCCCGCCAGAUGACUCAUCGAAUUUUAUGAUGCCCAUUUCAAGGAGCUUUUCCACUAACCUCUUAAAUGCGGUGCAAUUGUAUAUCGUAUGUCCUGUGAUUACCGCAUGGUAUUCACAUUGGACAUUUUCGUUGUACCACUUGGGAUACGAAGGUUGCAUCGGUUUCAGGUAAACCAGGGAUACAACAUGUGCAUUAAAUAAAGUUUGAUAUAACUCCUUAUAAGUCACUGGGAUGGACAUAAACUGGAGUUUCUCCGUAUUUCGCUUUGUAUCAGACUCUUGCUUUGAUGAGGCUUGCUGACUCGCGUUUACUAUUCUCGGUUGAUUCACAGUGAUCAGUUUUGCAUAACUCCUACUUACAUUGUUUAUUUCAUUUUCUCUCUUUCGUGGGACCGACUUCUUGGUGCUUUCUCCAGCUUCUAUCUUUCCGCACCUUAUUGCAUUUUCUAUCAUCUCACAGGAUAUUACUAUAUCUGAAAAACUCUUGGUUGCGCCUUCUAGCAAGUGAUUGAUGAAAGGUGCUUUUAGGGUAUUGAUAAACAACAUGGUCGUUUCCUUCUCAAGCAGUGGCGGUUGAACCUGCAUAGCGAUUUCUGUCCAUCUCUGGGCAUAUUGCCUAAAACUUUCGUUCAGCUUCUUUUCCAUACUUUGUAAAGUGAUUCUAUCAGGCGCUAUAUCCGUCACGUAGCCAUAUUGCUUCAUAAAAGCUUGUGCCAAGUCUUUCCAUGAACUAAUUUGGCCCCGAUUCAACUGGUUAUACCAUUUGGCCGCUGCCCCAAUCAGGCUAUCUUGGAAGCAAUGGAUUAAUAACUGAUCAUUAUGGAUAUAUCCUGUCAUCCUUCGACAGAACAUUGUGAUGUAAGCCUCAAGACAACUGGUCUCGUUGUAUUUCUCAAACUCCGGCAUCUUGAACUUUGGAGGAAGUACUAGGUCUGGGACCAGGCUCAGAUCCUUAGCAUCAAUCCCAUCGUGAUAAUCAACAUUCUCUAACGCUUUGAACUUCUCCUCAAGCCAUUUGCAGCAAUCCUCUAGGUGCUUUGGGAUCUCCAUUCUCGCCUUUUCCACCUCUACUGCCUCAUCAAAAUCAGGGACCGUGGGAUUCACCAAAUUAUCUUCGGGGUUAGAGCUUGGUCCCAUUGGGAAAUUUAUCGGGGCUGAAGUACCAGUUUGACACGGAGGUUUAAUGUUAACAGAUACCCUUGGUUGUGGCAUUUGAAUGCCCACUGGAGUAAAGCUUGGGGGAAUAGAAAGGUCCUCAUCAUCGUUUCCGGUACCAAUCAUAGGGCUCUUUCAUUUAUCCGAAGCUCUAGCCAACAUUUGUGCAAAUUGAUUUAUCAUGUUUUUCUGGGAUUCUAACAUCUGAUCCUUCAUGUCCUAUUGUAUUUUGGCCAACUGCUCUUGCAUCUGUAAAUACAGUUGCUCUUGUAUUUCCUUUUGCAUCUGUUCUAAUUUCUCUAAUCUUUGGUCUAUGGCUCUCGUUUUCCUUUGCGUACUAUAGUGGUGCUUAAUCGGUGAACUUUCACGAGCUUCCAGAUUUAACUAAAAUAAAUUUUAAUCAUUUAGGGAUCUUUUUAUGAAAUUUAAUGCAUAUGAUAUGAUAUAAAUGCAAAUGUACGAGAUGAAUGCAAAAAAGAUGACGUCGAAUCUGAUUCAAUUCCAUUUAGAAAACUUUACUUAAAAAAAAUCCCUUACAUAAAACGGAUUACAUAUAUGGCUUAGCCCUAAUGCUCAAAACUUUCACUUUCCUAAGAAGGGAGGCUAACUCCUGCCCUCGAUCUGACACUAACUCAUAUUUGGUACUUAGCACAUCUGCCUGAACUACAAGAGUCUGUAAGUAAUCAGCCACUUCUCGUAUUUGGGCUAUAGCUUGGCCCAUGAGGUAAUCUCUAUCCCAGACCUGAUCUUGAGAUCGAUGAAGCUGCUCGCUUAACUGACAGUUAUUUGCUUCCAGUCGUUCAAUUUGGAGCUCACAAUUCUGAAGUGUAGACUUAAGCUCUUCUACUUUUCUUUUCAGAUCCUCGAUCUUGCUUAAACUGGCCUUUAAUUCAAUCACCGAGUUACGACUCCGAUACUGGUGUAGUACUUUCUCUAACUCAGCUACCCGGGCCCUUAACACCUCCUUUUCACUUUGACUAUCAUCCAAGCUCUUCUCUAACCCAGCCUCUCGUGCCUUAGUAUCAUGGAACUUCUUCUUCCACUGAUCAGUUUUAGCCUUUUCUUCUUGAAUUUCUUGCCUCUACUAUUCAGAUGUCUUACCUAAACCAGCGUUUUUUACUGAAGCUCGAUACUUCCUGUAAUAUUCCUUCAAGCUAGCAAGAUCCUCUUCAACUUUUCUCUUUCCUUUUCUUAAAUUCUCGGCCUCCGACUUCUGGACAUCAACAUCUAACUUCAAGUACACAUUUUCCUCCUCCAACCGUUUCAUUUUCUUUUCUAACUCCGAACUUUUCUUUUCGAAGUCUUGCCUUAUAAUUUCCAACUCAGAGGGAACCACUCGUAGAUAUUCCUCUAUUAGUCGAGCAUCUUCUAGGUUUGGCCUCAGAAUGUUAUCAUUAACCCUUCUUCUCCGCCACUUGUUAUACCCAAGGGUCACUAUCGGGUUUACAGCAACUCCUUCCAUCCGGUAGGUUCGGUUCCAGGCGUUACAAAUCUCUUUGACCUUUUUCUUGUAAUUAUCCCCUUUAUAACAAAACUCGCUCUGAGCCAGCCCCUGUGUUGCAGGUAUGAAUUGCCUCGACCUGUAUUGCCUCGAUACGAGGAAAGGGGCUUAACCAAUGCCUCCCCAAAUCCCUAACAAAGGAACCCAAUAAUAAUCUCCACACCUGAAAAUAAUCUCACCGGGAACCAUUCAAGGGGCUCUCCACUCGAUAUCAUCCUUUUGAAGAUUUUGCAGUAUCGCCAUCCAUCUCUCAUCUGAUAUAUCGUCCCUCCUCGACGUAGCCGCAAUUUCCUUCAAAGGAGAGAAAUUUUGGAGGAAGGGUUGAUAAGAGACCUUCUCCGUCUUUUAGAAAUGGCUAUUGAACCAAACUAAUAAAAUCUGUGCACAUCCAAUAAAUCUGCCUUCGCCCGCUCUUCGGCAUGCAUUCAAAGAUCUGAAAGUUUCAGCUAAUAUUGUAGGAACAGGUGUGAUCCUUUUACCAAGCUGGUCAAAUAAAUUGGUAACUGCUUCGUCUAUAUGCCUUAAAGCUUUAGGGAAAACCACCAACCCAUAAACACUCAAAGCAAAGACGUCUACUCUUCUCUUCAUAUCAGGAUGCGUCAGAAUCAGCUCUCUCAAACUUAUCCAAGGGAUACACUUCCCAUCACCCUUCUGCUGGACUCGAGCCAUAACUCACUACUCACUCAUCCCGGUAAUAUUCAUCAAUCUCUUGACGAAAGUUGAGACAUUGACGAUUCUAGAAUAAAUCUUGUCAGUUUGAAAUUUCAGACAUCGCAGCAAAGCCGUAUAUUCUUCUAUAGUAGGUGUUAAAUCCACCUUUCCGAAAGUAAAAUAGCUGUAAGCAGAAUUCCAGAAUUGAGCCACGGCUCGGAACAAAUGCUUAUCUACCUUAAUAUCAAGAAGAUAUGACAUAUCAUCACAAUUAUGAUAGAAUAAAGGCUUCAUCUCACCAUCCCAAUGACUCCAUAUCUCUUUCAGCUACCUAAAAUCAUUUUGUGCCACACUAAUACGGGUAAAGUCCCAUAACUCCGAUGUAUACCCCUCCGCCAAACUGUCACCCUUCUCUAAUUGUGUAUUCUCUGACCAUUUCUUGGUAAACGUAUUAUAUUCCACUUUAUCAGAGAAUUCGCUCUCCAUGGUAAAACUUUCUAUUAGUAACCGAACCGUAAAUCCACACAUCCUUUUAUGAAGAAAAUAAUAUGCAAUCACUAUUUAAGAAAAAAAAUAAAAAUAAAAAACAAGUCAGAAUCAUGUAUAUAAAAUAAAAAUCAAAGCAAUCAAGCACCUACUUCGGCAACCACUGAGUCUCGGUGUAGUUCUACCUAAGGCAGGCUCCUAAGGCGUACUAUAUGUGGGUUGGUUCUAGAGUAAAGGUACCUGAACCCGCAGAUUCCUUGAUCCUCACCCAUUAUAGGCUCAUACGGACCAAGUUCAGUUCAGGGGAAUACAUUUCCCUAUGGCCAUGCAGAGGUGAAAACCUCACGAAGACAUAGGUACGGAUGUAUUCCGGAAGCUAUCCCCUAGCCCCUGCGGAGGUGAAAACCUCACGAAUGCAUAGUUUCUCACUCCUACUUAAGAGGUGCGACCUCAACGGUCAUGCAAUAUGGUGCGAAAGCAUAUCAAAAGUAAAUUCAACAAAGACACAGAAGAUGCAAUGCGAAGAUCGUGGAUUUUUAGAAAAACAAACUUCAAAUUUCGACAAGACGAUAGAAAAUAAUCAAUUUACAGCUCGACUCUCUUUAUGGAUCCCCAGCGGAGUCGCCAAGCUGUCGAAACCAUUUUUUUUUUAAAAACGGAGAUCGACUUUAAAACAAAAAUGGAGUCGCCACCAAUCCUUUUUGUGGUGUGAUUGGGCCACCUUAUAAAACAUUUUGGUCUACGAAUUUUGAGAAAAUAGGCUCGGGAGUCAGUUACGUAUGAGGAAGGAUUAGCACCCCCAAUACGCCCAAAAUCGGUACUUUAUUGAUUAAUUUAUGUCUUAAUGUUGAAAAUUAAAGAUUUGAAAAUAUUUUAAAGUACGAUCCUCCUUUUUGAAACAUUUGAGUAAAUUAAACGUGAGUUAAAGACCAUCUCGCUUCAAGGUAAAAUGUCACGUCUAGUACGGUAGGACAUAACGUUUUUGACCCCCGAUUAUGAGCUUGUCUUUUAUUUUAAAAAAAAUUCGUGUACUUUAUUCUUUUAAAAAAAAGGAUAUUCAGAUAUUUAAAUCAAACGUAAAGCCACAACCCAGUACGGUAGGGCAUGAUUUUUCGAAUUUUUUAAAUACAGAACACUGCCUCCCCUUUUCAAAACUUGGAGAAAUUCAAUAAGAAGGAUAUUUGAAUAUUUGGAUCGAACAAAAACCGAAACCCAAUAUGAUAGGGCACAAUUUUUUGAAAUUUCAAAUAUCGAAAAUUGCCUUUGUUUAGGAGAAAAUUUGGAGAAUAAAUCGAUUAAGAAGGAUAUUCGAA